ensembl:snRNA U1 U1 spliceosomal RNA
UUACUUAAAUAAUGGUGAUACUGUGAUUACAAAGGUGGUUCACCCAGGGCAAGGCUCUGCCUUUGCACUUCGAUUGUGCUGACCCCAAAUGCAGGAGUCUCAACUGCAUCAUUUCUGGUAGUGGGGGACUUCGUUCUGA